UACGAAGGGGGCUAGCGUUGCUCGGAAUCACUGGGCGUAAAGCGCACGUAGGCGGAUUGUUAAGUCAGGGGUGAAAUCCUGGAGCUCAACUCCAGAACUGCCUUUGAUACUGAAGAUCUUGAGUUCGGGAGAGGUGAGUGGAACUGCGAGUGUAGAGGUGAAAAUUCGUAGAUAUUGGGAAGAACACCGGUGGCGAAGGCGGCGACCUGGUCCGUGACUGACGCUGAGGCGCGAAAGCGUGGGGAGCAAACAGG
rnacentral:rRNA from 1 species